rnacentral:rRNA from 1 species
UUAAGCGACUAAGCGUACACGGUGGAUGCCCUGGCAGUCAGAGGCGAUGAAGGACGUGCUAAUCUGCGAUAAGCGUCGGUAAGGUGAUAUGAACCGUUAUAACCGGCGAUUUCCGAAUGGGGAAACCCAGUGUGUUUCGACACACUAUCAUUAACUGAAUCCAUAGGUUAAUGAGGCGAACCGGGGGAACUGAAACAUCUAAGUACCCCGAGGAAAAGAAAUCAACCGAGAUUCCCCCAGUAGCGGCGAGCGAACGGGGAGCAGCCCAGAGCCUGAAUCAGUGUGUGUGUUAGUGGAAGCGUCUGGAAAGGCGCGCGAUACAGGGUGACAGCCCCGUACACAAAAAUGCACAUGCUGUGAGCUCGAUGAGUAGGGCGGGACACGUGGUAUCCUGUCUGAAUAUGGGGGGACCAUCCUCCAAGGCUAAAUACUCCUGACUGACCGAUAGUGAACCAGUACCGUGAGGGAAAGGCGAAAAGAACCCCGGCGAGGGGAGUGAAAAAGAACCUGAAACCGUGUACGUACAAGCAGUGGGAGCACGCUUCGGCGUGUGACUGCGUACCUUUUGUAUAAUGGGUCAGCGACUUAUAUUCUGUAGCAAGGUUAACCGAAUAGGGGAGCCGAAGGGAAACCGAGUCUUAACUGGGCGUUAAGUUGCAGGGUAUAGACCCGAAACCCGGUGAUCUAGCCAUGGGCAGGUUGAAGGUUGGGUAACACUAACUGGAGGACCGAACCGACUAAUGUUGAAAAAUUAGCGGAUGACUUGUGGCUGGGGGUGAAAGGCCAAUCAAACCGGGAGAUAGCUGGUUCUCCCCGAAAGCUAUUUAGGUAGCGCCUCGUGAAUUCAUCUCCGGGGGUAGAGCACUGUUUCGGCAAGGGGGUCAUCCCGACUUACCAACCCGAUGCAAACUGCGAAUACCGGAGAAUGUUAUCACGGGAGACACACGGCGGGUGCUAACGUCCGUCGUGAAGAGGGAAACAACCCAGACCGCCAGCUAAGGUCCCAAAGUCAUGGUUAAGUGGGAAACGAUGUGGGAAGGCCCAGACAGCCAGGAUGUUGGCUUAGAAGCAGCCAUCAUUUAAAGAAAGCGUAAUAGCUCACUGGUCGAGUCGGCCUGCGCGGAAGAUGUAACGGGGCUAAACCAUGCACCGAAGCUGCGGCAGCGACGCUGAUGCGUUGUUGGGUAGGGGAGCGUUCUGUAAGCCUGCGAAGGUGUGCUGUGAGGCAUGCUGGAGGUAUCAGAAGUGCGAAUGCUGACAUAAGUAACGAUAAAGCGGGUGAAAAGCCCGCUCGCCGGAAGACCAAGGGUUCCUGUCCAACGUUAAUCGGGGCAGGGUGAGUCGACCCCUAAGGCGAGGCCGAAAGGCGUAGUCGAUGGGAAACAGGUUAAUAUUCCUGUACUUGGUGUUACUGCGAAGGGGGGACGGAGAAGGCUAUGUUGGCCGGGCGACGGUUGUCCCGGUUUAAGCGUGUAGGCUGGUUUUCCAGGCAAAUCCGGAAAAUCAAGGCUGAGGCGUGAUGACGAGGCACUACGGUGCUGAAGCAACAAAUGCCCUGCUUCCAGGAAAAGCCUCUAAGCAUCAGGUAACAUCAAAUCGUACCCCAAACCGACACAGGUGGUCAGGUAGAGAAUACCAAGGCGCUUGAGAGAACUCGGGUGAAGGAACUAGGCAAAAUGGUGCCGUAACUUCGGGAGAAGGCACGCUGAUAUGUAGGUGAGGUCCCUCGCGGAUGGAGCUGAAAUCAGUCGAAGAUACCAGCUGGCUGCAACUGUUUAUUAAAAACACAGCACUGUGCAAACACGAAAGUGGACGUAUACGGUGUGACGCCUGCCCGGUGCCGGAAGGUUAAUUGAUGGGGUCAGCGCAAGCGAAGCUCUUGAUCGAAGCCCCGGUAAACGGCGGCCGUAACUAUAACGGUCCUAAGGUAGCGAAAUUCCUUGUCGGGUAAGUUCCGACCUGCACGAAUGGCGUAAUGAUGGCCAGGCUGUCUCCACCCGAGACUCAGUGAAAUUGAACUCGCUGUGAAGAUGCAGUGUACCCGCGGCAAGACGGAAAGACCCCGUGAACCUUUACUAUAGCUUGACACUGAACAUUGAGCCUUGAUGUGUAGGAUAGGUGGGAGGCUUGGAAGUGUGGACGCCAGUCUGCAUGGAGCCGACCUUGAAAUACCACCCUUUAAUGUUUGAUGUUCUAACGUUGACCCGUAAUCCGGGUUGCGGACAGUGUCUGGUGGGUAGUUUGACUGGGGCGGUCUCCUCCUAAAGAGUAACGGAGGAGCACGAAGGUUGGCUAAUCCUGGUCGGACAUCAGGAGGUUAGUGCAAUGGCAUAAGCCAGCUUGACUGCGAGCGUGACGGCGCGAGCAGGUGCGAAAGCAGGUCAUAGUGAUCCGGUGGUUCUGAAUGGAAGGGCCAUCGCUCAACGGAUAAAAGGUACUCCGGGGAUAACAGGCUGAUACCGCCCAAGAGUUCAUAUCGACGGCGGUGUUUGGCACCUCGAUGUCGGCUCAUCACAUCCUGGGGCUGAAGUAGGUCCCAAGGGUAUGGCUGUUCGCCAUUUAAAGUGGUACGCGAGCUGGGUUUAGAACGUCGUGAGACAGUUCGGUCCCUAUCUGCCGUGGGCGCUGGAGAACUGAGGGGGGCUGCUCCUAGUACGAGAGGACCGGAGUGGACGCAUCACUGGUGUUCGGGUUGUCAUGCCAAUGGCACUGCCCGGUAGCUAAAUGCGGAAGAGAUAAGUGCUGAAAGCAUCUAAGCACGAAACUUGCCCCGAGAUGAGUUCUCCCUGACCCUUUAAGGGUCCUGAAGGAACGUUGAAGACGACGACGUUGAUAGGCCGGGUGUGUAAGCGCAGCGAUGCGUUGAGCUAACCGGUACUAAUGAACCGUGAGGCUUAACCUU